rnacentral:lncRNA from 1 species
UAACACCUAAAAAGAUCUGAAAAAGAAGGUAGCCAAACAAAACCUAAGGUCCCUAAGCUAAAAAGAGCUGAAGGGCACCAUUUUUUCAUGAAAUAGGAAACCCCUCCCUUGAACCAUCGUCUUCUUCACCCCACCCCAUACGACCCUCCUCCUCUCCUUCACAUUCCCAUGGCUUGAACCUCAACUUUUUCAUCCCUAAACCUUCAGCAACAACCAACGUUCACCAGUUCAACACGCAGCACCACCACAACGACCACCACUGAAAAUGACAGACACGAAUGGAGAAAUCGAAAACAGUACAAAAAAAUACUUCGUCUUCUCCAUGAUUUAGUUCUUAGUUUUCUGCGACUUGGAGUUUAAUUGAUGUUUGUGCUGAUUUUGAGUUCAAAUCUGAAAUUACGGUGAACUUUAUUCAUUGUAGCUCUGUUUCGAGUUUUGGUUGAUUUUUGCUUCAGAUCUGGUCUUCAUCUCCUUCAUCUUCUGUUCUCUUUUAAAAAAUCCAACGGGCUUUUUUUCGUUGCCAUUGUUGAACCGAGCUCGUACCAGCGUAACCAUUUGAGUUUUCCGGCAAAGAUUUUGGUUCGUUCGAGUGUUCCGGUCUAAAGCUUGGUUUAUUUUUUGGUUUGGGUUUCUGCCGCCUCUGGUUUUCCGGAUUUGGUGUCAACUGACUGGGUUUAUUACUGUAUUGGUUUACAUCAAUCAUUUAACUGAGGUUUAUUCUUACUCGUACCCUUUUAGUUUUACUAUAAUAGCAAAAUAUUUGUCACUUAGCUGAAGUAUAGAUUGUUAUUCUAGUUUAUCUUGUAUGUUCCUCUUAUUUCCUUUAGUUUACUAUUUUUAUUGUAUGUUUUAAAUACGUAGUUUGACUCUAUUUGUUUUGUUAAUUUUGUGUUUGUGAUAGUCAGUACUCUUUCUCACUUACCACUUUC